rnacentral:rRNA from 1 species
UACGUAGGGACCAAGCGUUGUUCGGAUUUACUGGGCGUAAAGGGCGCGUAGGCGGUCAGCACAAGUCAGUUGUGAAAUCUCCGGGCUUAACUCGGAAAGGUCAACUGAUACUGUGCGACUAGAGUGCGGAAGGGGCAACUGGAAUUCUUGGUGUAGCGGUGAAAUGCGUAGAUAUCAGGAGGAACACCGGUGGCGAAGGCGGGUCUCUGGGCAACUACUGACGCUGAGGAGCGAAAGCGUGGGGAGCGAACAGG